rnacentral:rRNA from 1 species
UACGUAGGGUCCGAGCGUUGUCCGGAAUUACUGGGCGUAAAGAGCUCGUAGGUGGUUUGUCGCGUUGUCCGUGAAAACUCACAGCUCAACUGUGGGCGUGCGGGCGAUACGGGCAGACUGGAGUACUGCAGGGGAGACUGGAAUUCCUGGUGUAGCGGUGGAAUGCGCAGAUAUCAGGAGGAACACCAGCGGCGAAGGCGGCGCUCUGGGCCGGUACUGACGCUGAGGAGCGAAAGCGUGGGUAGCAAACAGG